rnacentral:lncRNA from 1 species
UUUUUUUUUUUUUUUUUUUUUUUGUCCUCAUUAAUUUCCUUAGAGGCCAAGCACUUACUUUACUUUUGACAGGUGAGCAUCUGCCAUGCAUCAAAAGUUGAUUUACAUCUUAGGUGCAGUUGUUUGGCUUAAUUGUUCAUAUGUUAGUUACCCUGUUUGCAUUUGUAUGGCUGCUACUCAAGAUAUGUUUGAGGUUUAGAGUAGUAAUUCUCAACUUAGUCUCCUACUGGUGUCACUGAAGAACCUUAAAAACUCUCUGGGGGCUGGAGAAAUGGCUCAGUGGUUAAGAGCACUGACUGCUCUUCCUAGAGGCCCUGAGUUCAAUUCCCAGCAACCACAUGGUGGCUCACAACCAUCUGUAAUUGGAUCUGACGCCCUCUUCUGGUGUGUCUGAAGAAACUGACAGUGUACUGACAUAUAUAAAAAGGAAUAAAAUAUGUUAACAAAUAUUAAAAAAAAAACCUGUCUGGGUCACAUUUCCCAGAGUACUGAUUUCAUUGUCCUACAACAUAGGCACAGGGACUUAGAAGAGCUCUCUGGGUGUUUCCUUCCAUGCAGUGCCAGCCUAUAGUCUAUCCUCUGGUCUGUUCUCAGAAUUAAGGCCUAACCAGUAUUGUCCAGUAGGCUGGCCACAAGCCUGAGGUUUCUAAUUAUAUUUAAAUUAAAUCAAACAUAAUAAAAUUAGAUACUCUCUUCUUGGCAUACUGGCUGCCUUUGAAAUGCUCAGUAGCCCGUUUGAGUUUGAGGCUCCAUAUUAGACAGCACAGAUAGACAGUUUUACAUCAUAGCAAAAGUUUGUGUUAGACAGCCUAGAUCCAGGAUGACCAUAGAAUGUUGGCAGAACAUGGGAGGAGCUGUGAACAUUUGAGAAGUCUGACACAGGAAGGGCAAACUUAAAAUAAAGCUAAUCGAGUAGGUUUUGCUCCACAUCUGAAACCACCAUAUAUUUUCUAAGCAGUCUUUUGCUCAGUGAUCUUUUGGGCAGCAGAAGCCCUAGAGCAGUGGGUACUAUAGAUUGUGUAUCUAUCUCACGGAAAUUUCCCAUUGAAAGCCAGCUGGCCUGAGAAGUGUGGCCAGAACCUAAUGGCAGGCAAAUGUAAACUUACGUGGGCCAUGGCAAUAAGUGACAGAGUGCAUCUCACCUGAUUCUGCUGUAGAAAGACCCCCUUUGCCUCCUUUUACUCCUAAACCCACUUCUCAUUAGUUAGUGGGAGUUAGAUAGAGCUAACACAUGUUUCCAGAAAAGUGAACUUCCACUGUAGACCCCAUCUUUUGAGGGUCCAGGGAGGUGAAAGAAAAUGAGUCACAUUUGUUUUUAGACAUAUGACAUAAGAUUCAAGCACACUUAAGGCUAUGAAAAGGUGGAGGGUCAGAGGAAAGGGGAUGUAGUAAAGCAGGAUUAUCGAGGCUGUGCCUUCCUCAGGCAGGUCCUCUGGUAAGAAUGAGAGGCCUACCAUGGAGAGGCUGUCCUGAGGUCAUUGGUUUGGCCUCAAGGCUCUUUGCUGGGCCUGGCUCACACUUGUAUUUUGGACAUUAGCACCUCCUUAGAAACUGUUUCUGUGGUUUUUCCUGAGCCUACCAAAAAAAGAAGCCAACAAGUGUUGAUGGAACAGGGAGUAAGUAGGCAGAGCUCUGAGAGUAGACAGGUCACAAGCAUGCAUCCAAUGGUGCCUACAAGAUUGGUGGUGUCAGGUUUUGUAAGUAACGUGUGCUUUUUUUUUUCUUUCUGGUUUGAUUUUGUCUGCUGUCAUACUUUUCGAUUGCUGUGAUAAGACACAGUGACUAAGACAACUUUAAAAAGAAAUUGUUUAAUUUGGCCUUAUGGUUUCAAAGGGUUAAUUGUCCACAGUGGCAGAACAAAGGCUUAGCAGCAGGAACAGCUGAGGUCUCACUUGUAAUCUGCAAGUAGGAGGCAGAGAGAAAACAAACACUAGGAGUAGAGAGAGCCUUCAGAAACUUUGGAGCCUGCCUCCAUCCAGGCUCCACUUCCUAAUCCUAGCCCUGGCUUGAAUUCACUAUACCACUCGGGAUGACGUUUGUCUCUUGAUCUGCUUGACUCCAGCUCCCCAAGUGCCAUUAGACGUGGUUCUAUGUGCUGCUGGAGAUCAGAUCCAGGGUAUCAUGUGUGCUGAGGAACAACUUGUCCAACUAUGCUGCAGUGCUACUUUGUCAGUCCCAACUGUUCCUCCCCUUCCCAUUGCCAGGGAUUUCUGCUAACAAGAACAUGUACUUGGGUCCUUUACUAUUUUGAAUUUUGCCCAUCUCUCUUGCUUUUAUUCUGCCAGGCUUUAAACUCUUCCAUCAAGCUCCGAAAGCUAGGUAAGAACAGGAACUUCUGCAAGCAGGAACAUGGAAGGUGGUUAGGACAGAAGUUCAAGUUCAGGUGAUUCUGGUAAGCAGCCGAGUUGAGAACCACUGGCCUUAUUACCACACCGCAUCUUUCACAUGAAGAAACCAAAAACCAGGGAGGUGAGCUGAUUUCUUUAUGGCUAGAGGAGGCCAGAGGUAAGAGUAGACCAGCGACUUUCCAAAGUCCCUUGUACCUCUGAGCAACAGCCAUUCUCUGGUUUCACCUAAACUGCUGUGGCAUCUGACUCGUAUUGCAGUCUCCUUCCUAAAAUCCCUUUCUUUUAUGUUUAUUUUUUAUUUUGGGCAGCAAGUUGUGGUCUUCUGUUUCACCCCAGAAACUAUUUCUUGGCUCAUUUGAAAAGGCGACAUGUCACAGGUCCUGUGUGGCCACACAGCCUGGAUAUGGGAGUUGAGGGUGAUUUGGACCCUUUUUCUCAGGUUGGAGUUGCUGCCUUUUUCUCCUCCUGCUGGUUUCUUUGUGAUUUAGUUUAUCCUCCCUCUAAUUAAAAUAAUAAUAAUAACAAUAAUCAACAACUAUCUCUUGACAUAUUUUGGCUGCGGGAUAAAUCCAGAUGGUACAUUUCUAUAGAAAAAAGUUGGGCAGUGGUGUCACACUCCAAGUACUCGGGAGGCAGAGGUAAGCAGAUCUCUGAGUUCAAGACCAGUCUGGUCUACAGACCAAAGGUUUCAAGACAGAGGGAGUUUCAAAACAGCAAGGGCUACCGGAAGAGAAACUUACUGGAAAGAAAAAGAAAAACCAAUCACACUUUUCCUACUUUUCUUCUUU